rnacentral:sRNA from 1 species
UCACAGCGUUAGGACGGCAGACGUAAUA